AUUCUGGUUUUUGGUGUUUUCAUCCUUUUUGCACUGGUUUCUUCCCAUCUUCCUGGAUUUAUCUACCUUUGAUCUUUGAAGUUGGUGACUUCAGUCGGGGUCUCUGAGUGGACAUCCUUUUUGUUGUUGUUGAGGCUAUUUCUUUCUGUUUUUUAGUUUUCCUUCUAAUGGUCUGGCCCUCUGCUGUAGGACUGCUGGAGGUUCACUUCAGACCCUGCUUGCCUGGGGAUCAUCCACAGGGGCUGCAGAACAGCAAGGAUUGCUGCUUGUCCUUCCUCUGGUAGCUUCAUCCCAGAAGGGUACCACCAGAUAUCAGCCAGAGCUUUCCUGUAUGAGAUGACUCUUUGGAUAUACAGGUGUCAGGGAGGCAUUUGAGGAGACAGUCUGUCCCUUUUCAAAGGUCAAGUGCUGUGCUGGGAGCUCCAUUGCUCCUUCAGAGAUGCCAGGCAGGGACGUUUAAGUCUCCUGCAGUGGAACUCACAACCGCUCCUUUUCCCUGGUGCUCUGUCCCAGGGAGAUGUGGCUUUAUUUAUAAGUCCCUGACAGGCUGCUGCCUUUUUUCAGAGAUGCUCUGCCCCCUAAGGAGGGAGUCUAGUCACAGUCUGUCUGCAGAGGUGUUGUUGAGCUGCCAUGUGCUCCCUCCAGUGCUUUUGUUUACACAGGAAUAUGGAACCUGCAAACAGACAAAAAAGUUAAACACUUCCAAUCCAGAGAUGCCUCUGCAUUUACAACUCACUACAAAGAAGAUAGCUUCAGUUUUCCACAGGGAAGCAGAUUUACUACAAAAUAGUAAGUAGAAACAACUCCUUAUACAACUCUUUUUCUAAGAAAGGUAAUCAGAUAAUCAGAGGGUAGAAAAGUACCACUCAGAAAGCAAAAUGGAAUAGACCAAUUAUUCUAAAGAUAAAGGUGGUGGUUGCAAGCCACUUCCAAACAAGUGACAAACAAGUGUUGAAAAUAUGCCUACCGUUAUGAUCUAACCAUUCCGCUCCAUGGUAUUUACCCAAGCAAAAAGAAAGCCUAUAUUUAUACAAAGAUUUUAAUAUUCAGAGCAGGUUUGUGAUUAUGAAAAAUUGGAAACAACCCAAGUGUCCAUCAAGAGGCAAAUAGGUACACAAAUCUUAGUAUAUACAUACAUUGUAAUCCUACAGAAAUAAAAAGGAAUGAAC
rnacentral:lncRNA from 13 species